GGAGGGGGCAAGCGUUUAUUCGGAUUUACUGGGCGUAAAGCGCACGUAGGUGGCAUGGUAAGUCAAAGGUGAAAGCCCUCGGCUCAACCGAGGAAUUGCCUUUGAAACUGCUUUGCUUGAGUCCGGGAGGGGGGAGCGGAAUUCCCAGUGUAGCGGUGAAAUGCGUAGAUACUGGGAGGAACACCGGUGGCGAAGGCGGCUCCCUGGACCGGUACUGACACUGAGGUGCGAAAGCGUGGGUAGCAAACAGGAUUAGAUACCCUGGUAGUCCACGCCGUAAACGAUGGGCACUAGGUGCAGCGGGUGUCGACCCCCUGCUGCGCCGUAGUUAACGCAUUAAGUGCCCCGCCUGGGGAGUACGGUCGCAAGGCUG
rnacentral:rRNA from 1 species